rnacentral:rRNA from 1 species
GGUGAACGCUGGCGGCGUGCCUAAUACAUGCAAGUCGAGCGAACGGACGAGAAGCUUGCCUCUCUGAUGUUAGCGGCGGACGGGUGAGUAACACGUGGAUAACCUACCUAUAAGACUGGGAUAACUUCGGGAAACCGGAGCUAAUACCGGAUGAUAUUUUGAACCGCAUGGUUCAAAAGUGAAAGACGGUCUUGCUGUCACUUAUAGAUGGAUCCGCGCUGCAUUAGCUAGUUGGUAAGGUAACGGCUUACCAAGGCAACGAUGCAUAGCCGACCUGAGAGGGUGAUCGGCCACACUGGAACUGAGACACGGUCCAGACUCCUACGGGAGGCAGCAGUAGGGAAUCUUCCGCAAUGGGCGAAAGCCUGACGGAGCAACGCCGCGUGAGUGAUGAAGGUCUUCGGAUCGUAAAACUCUGUUAUUAGGGAAGAACAUAUGUGUAAGUAACUGUGCACAUCUUGACGGUACCUAAUCAGAAAGCCACGGCUAACUACGUG